AAGAGACAAAGAAAGAGGAAGGAAGGAGAGGAAGGGGCUGCACAAACCCAAGGCUUUUGGAGGAUCAAGGUGAGAUGGUUUUGAUCUAAUCCCCUAUUUUUGGAUGACAUUUACAGCCUGUAAUUAGCCUUUUUUGUUGGUUUAGUGGGGGAUUAGAGAUGGAUCUCAUGAUUAAUCACUGCUGGGUGACAGAAUCGGCAGUUUCUGUUUCUCAUCGAAUAUGGACAUGUUAGAUCCCGAAUUAAUUUUCCCACCUGAAGAAGUUUUUGUAGAAGACUCAGAGUUCUUUCCAUGAAGACUGAGAUCAUAAUUUUUAGCCAUAUGGUUUAAGAGAUAUAGCAGUUCCAAGAUGGCUGACUUAUUCUGACAAGUUUCCGAAAAGUAAUAGAUCUAUUCAAUUUUAAGGCACCUUAGAGGCAUAAUCAGAUCUUCAAAUGGAUACCAAAUUUUAGAUUUGUAUAGAUCAUAAUUUUCAGUUGGCUAGAUCUCUAUAAAUGAAAUUCUAAAGUGGACUGUUAGUUUUGUGUUGUCAGAUUCAACACUCGAGGUUGCUACAAUGAUUAAUUUAUCUUAGUGAUUGUUACUGCAAAGAGCCAUAUAACAAAAGUUAGGGAUAAUGUAAUUGUGCAUUCUUUGGUAAAAUUUCAUAAUUUUUGGAUGAGUGGUUUAGUAGAUAUCAAGGGUUUACCAUUGACUGUUAGAACUCAAGAUAGAUUCUAUAGUCUGAAUUGAACUACAGAUUAGGACAGUUUGCUUUGCAAAUAAAAAUGUUUUCACCAAUGAAAUUAUUCUCCGUUCUCUGUAGUUUCUGAAUAUGUAUUUAUUUACUAGUGUUGCUUUUGUAGAUUAAAAGAUACAACAAAGAGAAGUGUUGUUGCUCUUGUAGGAUGAUUGCGGUUUUGCUGAUUUUGUCUUUUUAUCUUGUUUGAGGGUUCCGGGCAUAGGAGCCAUAUGCCUAUUAUUUGUAUAUGUUUUUUGAGUUGUAUGUACUGAGUUCAUGAUGAUAAACAGAUGGUAUUGCUCUGGAUCGUGCCUAGUGCCGUUUGCAUCAUCGCUUUGAGGCAAGUAAACGUAGCAGUGGAGUUUCAAAGAGAGGCAAAAAGUUGACUUUUUGAAUGGUUGCUCGGAUGGAUGAUCAGAGACCAUAGACGCGUAGAUCUCGUCGAGGGGAUUCCAUUUAUUUUCUCAUAUGUGAUAUUCGGAGUUAAGAUCAUAGUAUUAUAGUAGAUCAAAAUUUGGAUGGAUAAGAUGGCUCAAAGAAUAAAGAGAGAAAACCCAAUCUACCAUGACUUCACCUCUCCCAUGUCAGCCCUCUCCCUCUCCCUCACGUCAUAUUCUUUUCCUCCGUAAAAAACAGCAGCGACUUCUCUUUUUUUUCCCCAUGACUUCCUGCUGGUGCUGCCCUACCUGUGGUUGCCUCCCCUAUCGAUCUGCUGCUGCCGAGAUACUAGAGGAGGGAGAUAAGAAGCGACAAAGAAAGAGAAGGGGAGGAGAGGAAGGGGUUGCACAAACCCUAGGCUUUUGGAGGAUCAAGGUGAGAUGGUUUUGAUCUAAUCCCCUAUUUUUGGAUGACAUUUAGGGCCUGUAAUUAGCCUUUUUUAUUGGUUUAAUGGGGGAUUAGAGAUGGAUCUCGUGAUCAUUAAUAAAUUCAAAAACCUAACCGAGGUAAUAGUCCUUAACUAAAGGUUAAGUUAUUUCUUAAAUUACUUUAGUACUUGUUCGAUAAUAAUACUUGUGGUUGUUUAUUCCAUCAUGAGGUACGAGGUAGGUUUAUGUAUAAUACUUGUGAUUGUUUAUUCCAUCAUGUGGUAAGAGGUAUGUUUAUGUAUGUGGUUGUACAUGACAUAAGUGGUAAGCUUACUUGCAGAUGCACCGUAUCAUUGCAUCAUAUUGCAUUGCACAUCAUUCAUGGAUACCGCCACUUGCUAGCCGCGACCAUACCGGUACA
rnacentral:lncRNA from 1 species